GACGAACGCUGGCGGCGUGCUUAACACAUGCAAGUCGAACGAGAGGACAAGAGAAGCUUGCUUCUUUGGAAUCGAGUGGCAAACGGGUGAGUAACACGUAAACAACCUGCCUUCAGGAUGGGGGACAACAGACGGAAACGACUGCUAAUACCGAAUACGCUUGGGAGACCGCAUGAUCUACCAAGGAAAGGGUGGCCUCUACCUGUAAGCUAUCGCCUGAAGAGGGGUUUGCGUCUGAUUAGCUGGUCGGAGGGGUAACGGCCCACCAAAGCGACGAUCAGUAGCCGGCCUGAGAGGGUGAACGGCCACAUUGGGACUGAGACACGGCCCAAACUCCUACGGGAGGCAGCAGUGGGGAGUAUUGCACAAUGGGGGAAACCCUGAUGCAGCGACGCCGCGUGAGUGAAGAAGUAUUUCGGUAUGUAAAGCUCUAUCAGCAGGGAAGAAAGUGACGGUACCUGAAUAAGAAGCCCCGGCUAACUACGUG
rnacentral:rRNA from 1 species